UCGAGGAAGAAGAAGGCAGCAUGGAGGGUAGCGCGGGUAGUGCCGUGUACGUCUCUGAUAGUAGGGAGACGGAGGAGGAAACAGAAGAGGAGGAGGAGGAGAGUGAAGAGCAGAGCUCAUCACCCUCACCACCAGAACGCCGAACCAAGCACCGUCAUGACCCCGCUGUUCCGCCAGCUCCUCCCGUGGCCCCGAGUGCUCGGAGUGUGAAGAGAACCAGGGGUUCUUCUG
rnacentral:lncRNA from 1 species